rnacentral:rRNA from 1 species
CUCCGAAUGCAGGUAGGAAUUCCCCAAGCG